rfam:Ornithorhynchus anatinus chromosome 6, whole genome shotgun sequence.
CCCCUCUCAGGAUGGCACCUGGAGAGUUUCCAGUACUCUACCAGUCUUGACUACAGGAGGGAGAGUCAAGCAGAGGCAUAGUCAUUCCAUUUCUAGCAUGGGCAAUGGCUAGCAAGUGCAAGGCAAUCUGCUGCAAGU